ACUCAAAUGAAUUGACGGGGACCCGCACAAGCGGUGGAUGAUGUGGUUUAAUUUGACGAUACGCGAAGAACCUUACCCAGGCUUGACAUCCUAGGAACCCUGUAGAAAUACGGGGGUGCCCUCGGGAGCCUAGUGACAGGUGCUGCAUGGCCGUCGUCAGCUCGUGUCGUGAGAUGUUGGGUUAAGUCCCGCAACGAGCGCAACCCUUGUCGUAUGUUGAAUUUUUCAUGCGAGACUGCCCGGGCCAACCGGGAGGAAGGUGGGGAUGACGUCAGGUCAGCAUGGCCCUUACGCCUGGGGCUACACACGUCAUACAAUGGCUAGUACAACGCGUUGCCAAACCGCAAGGUGGAGCUAAUCGCACCAAAACUAGUCUCAGUUCGGAUUGGAGGCUGCAACUCGCCUCCAUGAAGUCGGAAUCGCUAGUAACCGUAGGUCAGCAUACUACGGUGAAUACGUUCCCGGGUCUUGUACACACCGCCCGU
rnacentral:rRNA from 1 species